rnacentral:rRNA from 1 species
AUUGAACGCUGGCGGCAGGCCUAACACAUGCAAGUCGAGCGGAUGAAGGGAGCUUGCUCCUGGAUUCAGCGGCGGACGGGUAAGUAAUGCCUAGGAAUCUGCCUGGUCGUGGGGGAUAACGUCCGGAAACGGGCGCUAAUACCGCAUACGUCCUGAGGGAGAAAGUGGGGGAUCUUCGGACCUCACGCUAUCAGAUGAGCCUAGGUCGGAUUAGCUAGUUGGUGGGGUAAAGGCCUACCAAGGCGACGAUCCGUAACUGGUCUGAGAGGAUGAUCAGUCACACUGGAACUGAGAAACGGUCCAGACUCCUACGGGAGGCAGAAUGGGGGAAUAUUGGACAAUGGGCGAAAGCCUGAUCCAGCCAGGCCGCGUGUGUGAAGAAGGUCUUCGGAUUGUAAAGCACUUUAAGUUGGGAGGAAGGGCAGUAAGUUAAUACCUUGCUGUUUUGACGUUACCAACAGAAUAAGCACCGGCUAACUUCGUG